AACCGAAAUCUGGACCCGCUGACCUGUUAACUUUUAAUUGGCCUGUUUCCCAGCUGGUGAUGAGUUUCAACUCAAAAGCCCCAGUUCAGUACUUGAAGAAGUCUUCCUGGUUCUCCUCUUCUUCCUUCCCCCCCCCCCCCCUUCAAGCUUGCCUUCAAUUCCUCUGGAGGGUGGGCCUAGGGCAGGAAGUUUGUGCAGUUAUAACUGAAAGCUUUGCCUACAUUGCCUUAGAUUUGUCUUCCAUGCAAGCCCCCGACGGGAAUGCCUGGGAGGUCAGGGGAGAGAAUCUCAAUACAACUUUUAAGAGCUGCCACUUUGAAAGGAAGGAGGUCUGGCAAUAAAUCUUCAAGGAAAAAGCAAGCAUGGUAAUAUGGAGCCCUGUGAAGUCAUCAUAGCUUGGGUUCAAAUCCUGUUUCUGAUGUUCACUCCCUCUCAAAUCUUAGACCAGUCAUUUUAUAUUCCUGAAGCAAUUGGGUGACCCAGUGGAUAGCAAGAGACCCCGAAUCAGGAAGACCUGAGUUCAAAUUCAGUCCCAGUUCCUAGCUGUGUGUCCAUGGGCAAGUCACUUAAUCCUGUUUGCCUCAUUUUUCUCAUCUGUAAAAUGACCUGGAGAAGGAAAUGGAAAACCAUGAAAACCCCAAAUGGUCACAAAGAGUCAGAUAUGACUGAAGAACAACAAAAAUAAAAUGAUUGAAACUCA